rnacentral:rRNA from 1 species
GACAGAGGGGGCAAGCGUUGCUCGGAAUUACUGGGCGUAAAGGGCGCGUAGGCGGGAUGGCAAGUCGGUCGUGAAAUCCCUCGGCUUAACCGGGGAACUGCGUCUGAUACUGGAUGGCUAGAAUCCGGGAGAGGGAUGCGGAAUUCCAGGUGUAGCGGUGAAAUGCGUAGAUAUCUGGAGGAACACCGGUGGCGAAGGCGGCAUCCUGGACCGGUAUUGACGCGUGAGGCGACGGAAAGCCAGGGGAGCAAACGGG